rnacentral:tRNA from 1 species
GGGUGGGUACCGAAGUGGUUACCGGGGUGGCCUCAAGCUUUCUCAGCUUGUUUCUUCUGAAAUAUAUCCACUGUGCUAACGCGCGCGCGAGUUCGAAUCUCGUCCCACCCA